AGAGUUUGAUUCUGGCUCAGAAUGAACGCUGGCGGCGUGGAUAAGACAUGCAAGUCGAACGAGAAAACUGAUUAGUUUACUAAGAUGUUUUCUAGUGGCGGACGGGUUAGUAACACGUGAGCAACUUACCUCAAAGUGGGGGAUAGCCUUCCGAAAGGAAGAUUAAUACCGCAUGUGACCUUCGGGUCAAAGAGUGCUUCGGCACUCGCUUUGAGAUAGGCUCGCGUCCUAUCAGCUAGUUGGUGAGGUAAUGGCUCACCAAGGCGACGACGGGUAGCUGUUCUGAGAGGAAGAUCAGCAACACUGGAACUGAGACACGGUCCAGACACCUACGGGUGGCAGCAGUCGAGAAUCAUUCACAAUGGGGGCAACCCUGAUGGUGCAACGCCGCGUGGAGGAUGAAGGCCCUAGGGUCGUAAACUCCUGUCAUAUGAGAGUAAGGCAUAUGUGUUAAUACCAUGUAUGUUUGAUAGUAUCAUAAGAGGAAGGGACGGCUAACUUCGUGCCAGCAGCCGCGGUAAUACGAAGGUCCCGAGCGUUAUUCGGAAUCACUGGGCGUAAAGAGUACGUAGGCGGUUUGGUAAGUCAGGUGUGAAAUCCCGGAGCUCAACUCCGGAACUGCAUCCGAUACUGCUAGACUUGAGUAAUGGAGGGGCAGGUGGAAUUCUCGGUGUAGCAGUGAAAUGCGUGGAUAUCGAGAGGAAGACCAAUGGCGAAGGCAGCCUGCUGGACAUUUACUGACGCUGAGGUACGAAGGCCAGGGUAGCGAAAGGGAUUAGAUACCCCUGUAGUCCUGGCAGUAAACGGUGCACGCUUGGUGUGAGGGGAAUCGACCCCCCUUGUGCCGGAGCUAACGCGUUAAGCGUGCCGCCUGGGAAGUACGGUCGCAAGACUAAAACUCAAAGAAAUUGACGGGGACCCGCACAAGCGGUGGAGUAUGUGGCUUAA
rnacentral:rRNA from 1 species